AGAGUUUGAUCAUGGCUCAGGACGAACGCUGGCGGUGUGCUUAAUACAUGCAAGUCGAGCGGACUAUAGGGGCUUGCUCCUACAGUUAGCGGCGGACGGGUGAGUAACGCGUGAGCAACCUGCCCACAUCUGGGGAAUAACACAUAGAAAUGUGUGCUAAUACCGCAUAAGACCACAGAGAGGCAUCUCUCAGGGGUAAAAGAUUUAUCGGAUGUGGAUGGGCUCGCGUACCAUUAGAUAGUUGGUAGUGUAACGGACUACCAAGUCGACGAUGGUUAGCCGACCUGAGAGGGUGAUCGGCCACAUUGGAACUGAGAUACGGUCCAGACUCCUACGGGAGGCAGCAGUAGGGAAUAUUGGGCAAUGGAGGCAACUCUGACCCAGCAACACCGCGUGAAUGAUGAAGGUCUUCGGAUUGUAAAGUUCUGUGAUGGGGGACGAAAACAAUGACGGUACCCCAAGAGCAAGCCACGGCUAACUACGUGCCAGCAGCCGCGGUAAUACGUAGGUGGCAAGCGUUGUCCGGAAUGACUGGGCGUAAAGGGUGCGUAGGUGGCUAUUCAAGUUAGUAGUGAA
rnacentral:rRNA from 1 species